GAUCACGAUAGCUCGGGCUUUGUUGAAUUACAGAAUAAAGGAAAAGAUGGCUAUGGCAAACUCCUCCAAUGCUCCAAUACUAUUUACAAAGAAGUUUCCUAGUCAGAAUCCUAGACCAACAAGUCCACAGCCUCCUGCUACCACCUCGAAAAUCCUUCCUUUAAUCUGCCCGAAGGUGGUUCCUCGAAACAGAUCUAUGUCAGCAACAGCAAAUGAGAAGCCCGUACUGACAUCAUCGCAAACACCUACUCCUGAAAGCCGUGGUGUUCGUCCACAGAAAUUCCCUGCAGCUGGAGCAGCGCCUUAUGUUCCCAUCAGACAAUUAAGGACACCUUGCUGUGGCAUUGCUCCACCAGUGACAAUAAGAACUGCAGUGCCUGUUUUCUCUGCACCUCCGCGUCCAGCACCAUCUGCAGUAUCUCCUCAGCCACCGACAUCAGCGGUUCCUACUCAUCCCGCUCAACCAGCACAAUCUGUUCUUCCUCCUCAUCAACUGCCAGCGACACUCCCCUCUCAAGUGCUGCGAGCUCCUCCAGUACGAAUUGCCCAAGCAGUCACCAUUAGGCAAGUGGUUCCUGUAUUUGCUGCUCCACCGGUACGGAAAGAAGAUAAACAAUCCGUUCCUCUCAGAAAUGAAGAUAUCACAACCGCUACUGCUGCUCCCCCGCCUAACCAAUCACCUACUCAAGCAGAGGAAGCAGCAAGCACAAUAUUGAAGAACCUGCAAGAAUCUGAGACGAUACAGAGUUUAGAACAACUCAAAAUCUGAUGGCAAGGAAGGAUCGAAUUCCGAAUGGAAGCAAUGGAGUAAGAGCUAUGGUUUUGUGUUGGUAUCAAAGUUUGUUUUUGUUACUUUUUGUCAACUCAUAUGUGAGUGUUCUUUUUCAUUUUGUUUUCUUAGAAAGCUAAAGCUACAGUUUCUGCAGAUUAAGUUAGUCCCAUAUAAUUGCAGUUAAAGUUAGACUAUGUCUAGAGGCAAAUUCUUAUUUAGUUUAUUUAUAAUUACCCCCCCCUCCCCGGAUCUAAUCCAAUGCUUCUGCUCGUAUUCAAUUUUAAAUGGUCAAAUUGUGGUUUUGGUCCUUGAGAUUUUUUUCUUAAAAAAUAUAUUUUCCAACACAAAAUCUUUGCCAGCAUGGUGAGGGGUCAAAAUUAUAAUAUCACCUCAAUAUUUUAACCAUGAUAUAGAAAAUUAUAAAUGAAUGGAUUUAUGCUUCCGUCUUUUUCAACCAGUCUUUUACUCUUCGGAAAAGCAAGUGUCGUGUCGAAGCUACCCCGAUUGGAUAGUAAUGGGAGUAGUGAAUGAUGGUUGAGUCCCCACUAAAUCCAUUUCCCAACAUUAUGAGAAUCUGCUAAUUUUGGGCAAAGCUCAUUUGUGAUAUGGAAAGAUAAAUUGUUAAAGCAAGCAACUACAUGGACGCUCAAAUCUUUAAUUAAUCUAAGUAGUGGAAAGGAAAAGAUAUACAUUAACAUAGCUGGGGCGUUGGAAAGAUAUAGAUAUAUUUGGAAAAUCAGUGAAUGAUGUUUUCCAUUCAUACACAACAAAAGACCAUCUUUCUCUUUUGAUUCACAUUGCUCUGUUUUACUGCCGACCCUUGAGUCUUUCUUGAUUUUAAACUCUCUUACAUCACCCUCUCCCCUCAACACUACUCUCUGUUUCCUUCACUUUGUGGGAUGGUUCUGGCUUAGAUUGUUGAAGUACAUCAGAAGGUAAAAACUGGAUUGGUGAACUAUUUGUGAUUUUCCACUAGUAUAUAUCAUAUUUGGUUAACUUUUGAACGUAAGUUGAGUACUUGGCAAUGGUUGUGCCUCAACUGUUAGCAUAUAUGCAUGUCGCAUAGGACCUCACGACUUGUCCCGGUCUUUGAAAAUCUGGAUACUUUUAUAAAACUUCAAAUUGCCUUAUAUGUCUAAUUCAUCUGUUGGCAGGUUAUAGCAGUUAAUGGGGCGUUUCCUGGUCCUGUUGUUAAGGUCACAACUGUGAAUAUUAAUGCUCACAAUCAGUUGGACGAAAAUCUUUUGAUGACUUGGUAGGAUUUGAGUGUUGAGAUAAAAAAAAUUUCUUCUUCCCUUGGGAUAUUAUUACUACUAUUAUUUGUUCCAAGUCAGGUUCUGAAACUAGAGAUUUUACAGGCCAGGAAUUCCAAAUUCAUGGCAGGAUGGUGUUCUUGGCACCAACUCAUCCAAAAAAAGAAUUUUACUUACCCAUUUCUCAAGUCAAGGAUCAAAAUUGGGAGCUUUUUCUACUUCCCCUCCCUCCUCAAUUUUCAAUUUAAUAAUCGGAAUAUUAUAGUAAUUCCUUUUCACCCUGACCAUCAUGUCAAUAUACGAGAUUCUUUUUUGCAAUUUAAGUCUAAUAAUUGACACACUCUUAUUUUAGGCAUUGAAAACAACUCUUGAGUCUGGUGAAGAAAUUGAGAUGCCGGAUGGAGUUCUCAUUAAUAGGAAACGACCCAUAAUUAUACCAUAUAUAGUUGCCUAAAGUUAGCUUGACUUAAAAUAUAAACCUCAAGUUUUGUCAAAAUUUACUCAUAUUUGUAAUGUCUAUUUCAAACUUGUUUAAGUUUAUCUAUUUAUUUUUAUUUUUAUUUAUUAGUUAUUAUUUAUAUAUUUUUAUUAGAAUUAUACAUUUUUUUCUUUCACUGCAUUUUUAAAUAUAAACAGCUUUAACAUAUGUUUAACAUUAAAAUUUAAUAUAAUAGAUUUUAUGUUUUUAUAUGAUAUAAAUCACAUCAUAUAUAACAAAAAGAAGAAAAUAAUAUAUUAUAAAAUUUAAAAUAGGCUGGAUCAAACCGAGUUUAAAUGUUUUUAUUUUCAAAUUCAUUUUUUAACUUAACCUUUUUAGUCAACAUUUUCAAAGAGCAAGUAGCUUUAUCUUUGAAUAAAUUUAGUAAUUAAUUGCCUAUUUUUAUUAAAAUAUAUAUUCACAUGGAUUUUUUUUUGAAGAAAACAUUGUUCAAACAUAGAAAUUUAUGUAAUCAUUCUCUAAUUGGUAAGGAUUAAGGAUGACGUGGAAUCACAAUUUCUUACAAUCCCUUCUCAUCAUGUUGGAAUGAUUUUUAAAAAAAAUCCAACCAGAGUCUAUUUGAAUUAAUUACUGAUAUUAUAAAAAUAAAGAAAACAAAAUUAUGUGAAAUAAGUAAAUAGAAUAAUUUGAGCAUAAUGGAUUACCAAAGUGCUGGCCAAUCACUGCAAUAUGAAGAAUGGAGAGUCCAUCAUGAUCUCUAGUGUAAUGCUUGUGAAGAUUUCCUCCCAUUCCUUCAAUCUGUGUAGCCAAGUACUUCACCAUCGACAAGUUGCCAUAUUCGACAGCUCUGAACAAUGGGGUUUCCCCCAACUUGUUCCGAUCCGCGAGUAUCUCUUCCCUCUCCCGUAUAUAGUCUUCAUGAUGCAAGCCGUCAGAGAACAAUACCUCCUUCAUUAACAAAUCGGCUGCUUCGGCUUUGGCAGUGGUGACCAGUUCAUGGAGUACGGUGUUCCCAUAAACUGUCUUCGCCUUCAAUACCUCGCACUUCUUUGUUUGCGGCACCAACUUAACCAGGGUUUGAAGCAUUGCUCCACUUCCUCAGUAAGCUGCAACGUGAAACAUAUGUAUCUCCACAAGCCGUGAUUGGGUUGAACAAGGCCUCAUGGUUUUCCUUGUAAGUCGCUGCCAACCACUGAUCGUGGUUUGCCAAAAGAGUUGUCGUAAGCCACUUUCAAUUCAUGGAAUUUGCUGUUCAUCUCGGAUUUGGAGAUCAUUAUUUCUUUCUCCAUUCCCAUUGAUGAAGCUUUGAUAUAUAACUUAUAUAACUACAAUCUCUCUGGCCUCAACUUUCGUACCCAACGGCAUCGAGAAACCACACAACCAUUUAGCAUUUCAGUCUUGAAGUACACCUCUAAAUUGACGCAUGAAGUUCAUCAUUACGUGACACUAGCCCAUCUGUAUUAUGAUUUAUCCAAUCUUUUUGGACAAGACUAAUUCAAUAAAAAACGCAUGGAUUUAGGAUGAUCCAAUUUUAAAUUUGUCUCUACAUAAUUCCUCGCCCACAUAUAACCUGUAUCCACAAAGGCUUGAUCAUAAUUUUGAGAGCUAAAAUAACAUUUUAAACAUUUAUUUAUCAUUUAAUGUAUGUUUUGUGAUAUUUAUGUUGAUUAUAAAAUUACUUAUCUUUUAAAUUUUAUUUCAAAUAUAUAGUGUUAUAUUUUUGAAUUUGUGAUAAUUAUAUUUUAAUAGUUAAAAUAUAAUUUAUAUAUUUAAAUUAAAAAUUUACAAAGAAUUAAAAUUAACUACUUAAAAUUUAUAUUUCAGCUAUCAAAAAAUUAGUAAUAAAUUAAAAUAAAUAAUUUUCUCAUAUUUUUAUUGAAACAUUGAAUUUAAAUGUCAUUUAAAUAUAUAUAUAUUUGCUUUUCAACAUUAUAUCUAAGAUCAAAAUUUUAACUUCUUAAAAACAAUUUUUAACAAUAGUACUUCAAUUUUAAACCAAUUUUUUUUUAAAAAAAAUUCGGGAGCAACGUAAUUCUAUUUAUAAAAGUUUUACAUAGUGUAGUAAUAAUUAAUCCAUUAAUAACUAAUAGGCAUAAUGAAAAAUUUAUCCCUUAAUGUUUAUAUUCUUUUUAUCAAUUUGACCCUUUUUCUUUUAGUUAAGUUUAACCCUUAACUUUCUAUAAAGAAUCAAAUUUAACCAUCAACCUUUCAAAAAAAAGUAAAAUUGUUUUUGUUUAAAUAUAAUAGUUAUUAAAACAUUUAAUUUUUAAACAUGGCAAACCGCAUGACAAUUUAUGUGUAUUUUAUGUUAUUUUUUAAAUUUUUAUGAAUUUUUUAUAUAUUUUUUAAUUUUUAAAUAUUUAUUAACAUUACAUAUAAAACAAAUAGUUCCAUAUCAACAUCAAAUAAGAUUACCACACGGGUUGCAAAACGAUUUGAUUUGUUUUGAAAGAUUAAUAAUUAGAUUUAACUAAAAAAAAGAGAGAAUAAAUAUCAAAUUGAUAAAAAAUGUAAACAUUUAAAACUAAAUUUGUCAUUAAGCCCCGAAAUAGUUAUAGCAAUUAUUUCAGCAACUAAUAUGUGUGGAUUUAAGUACGUUUAAACGCGUUUUUUUUUUUAAAUUUAAGGGUUAAAAAGAUUAUAAAUAAAAGUAAACAUCAUAUGAAAAAAAAUAUUACAUUACAAUAGAGAUAUAUACUUUUAUUUUGCUUAUAACAAAAAAGAAAAUCCAUGUAUUAUAAGGUUGUAAGUAAAUUUAUCUCUUUUAAAAUAAACUGACCAAUUAAAUCUUUAUAUCAUUGUGAAGUAAGCAAAUAAAGAUAAUUAAAUAUGAUUAAUAUAUAUAUAUUAAAAAAUCUCCAAAGUUUUUCAAAAGAAAAUGAAAAAAAACAAAUCAUUUCAACCUUUAGUUUUGAUUCAAUUAAUUUUAUAACUUAAAAAUAUAAAUUAAUAAUAAUUAAUAUAAAAGUAUAAAAUUUUAAAAAUAAAAAAAUAUUUAUAAUAUAUGAAAGCACGAGAAAUUUUUGAAUUAGUUUACCAUAUUAUUAAAUAACUAAUUUUAAAAAAAUUAGACAUAAUAAUUUAUUAAUAUUUUACUAAUUACGAUGUGAUAAUAAUAAAAAUAUCAUUAUUUAACAAAUAAUUAAUAAAUAGUAUAUUAAUAUAGUAGAAUAAUUAUUUGGUGCGGUGAUGAAAAAUUUUAACUAUUGUUCGACUCUCCGUGGACCUUCUCACUCCCUCGCCGCUCGAAUCCUAGUAAGUUCUUUCUCAGAUCUUCUGCUAAUGGCGCGCCUUGUUUUUUUUUUUUUGUCUUUCUAUGCUAAAUUGAGCCGUGGGGUGUGAGCGGUGUUAGCCUGCUCCGCCAUCGUGAUCGCCGGAGGUUCAGCUCAGCUAGUCGUAGGGAAUUACUAGAAUGCCCUUCAAUAGUUAAUGAAUUAGCAGAAGGCAGUGGGGUUUUCUUGGCUUUUCUUCAGAUGAUGGAAGCGAAAACUUAAUUAAUUUUUGAGGGAAAUAAAAAUGGGAUUCAAUCUUAUGAUAUUUCUUCAAUUUUUUUUCUCUCUAAUAUUCUGGGAAACUGCUGUAUUUUGAUGAUAUGGGUUUUGUAGGUGUAAUUAAUGGCUUAAUCAUGGGUAUUUUGAUCAUAAAAAUGUUUCAUUUCAGGCCAUCUCAAUUGACUGCCCGAGGAUAAAACGGUAGAGAAGGCAAAAUUUAAUUUGGUGUCCCAAUCUCUUGCAGACUUUAAUUAGUUCAAGUAGGUGUAUGAACAUUUGUCGGCGCAACAGAAAAAAAAAAACCCAGAAAAAGAAAAAGAAAAAGAAAUGUGAUAUGCAAAUGUUAUUGUAGGUUAAAAGAACGUGGUUUUUCGGGACAGGUUUUAUGGGAAGAGUGGGUUCGGUUUCGGGUUGGUAAUGCUUCCUAGAGAAACAGUUAGUUUUGCUUUAGCAAAUGAUCAAAGUUAUCAUUUUUAAUUUUGUAUGAAUUGUUUUGUUGAGACUCGAGUGUUGGUGCAUUAUUAAUAUGAAUUGCCUUUUUCGGCAUAGUGAAAAGCAUGUAAAUACGAGCAAAAUGGGGUGCUUGGACUUAGGUUGGGGGAUCAUGUAGAACUACAAGGAUGAGAGGCAUUUUAGUUAAUUGUUUCAUAUGUGAUAUUCAUGAUGGUGGUUGAUAUGUUUCUCGUUGUGUUGCUUGUUUGUUUCUUGUUGUCAUCUUGGUUAGUUCACAACCGUUAAGACUCUUCGAUUUUCAUGUCCUGGUAGAAGUAGUUUGUAAACUUAUGAUUGUGUUCAUCGCGGUCAUCGGUGUUGUCUAAUCUAUGGACCAACUUGUGAAUGUUAUUAUAAUGAAGCUACGCACCUUCAGUGAAUUGGCAAAUUCUUGAUGAUUUUUGUUGUGUUUAUAUCUCAAUUUUCUCGAAUAUGCCUCUGGAUAUCUCAAUGUUCUUGUUCCUAGGAAUAAAUUAAUAUUCUAUUCCUUUCUAGAUAAAGAGAAACAUGAGUUUUAUUGAGAUUGAUACUGAUCCGGCCUUGUUAUGUUAGGAUGAGACAGGAGUUUAUAAGAACCUCUUACAGGAAAUUGCACAAAGAGUUGGGGCUCCAUUGCCUCAGUAUACAACAUUUAGAUCAGGUCUCUGGCACCUGCCUAUUUUUACAGGGACGGUUGAAUUGGCUGGAAUCAGAUUCAUCGGGGAACCAGCUAAGAACAAGAAACAAGCGGAAAAAAAUGCAGCCAUGGCAGCUUGGACAUCUCUAAAACUAUGUGAGUCUGUGUUUCAUUUUUCCUAGGGAUAAAUGUUUGUUCAAAAUUGAAUACUGUGUUUUAUUUCCAGUGGCGAAAGAAACUGCAAGUUCUUCUUCGGAGCCAGAGAACAAUGAUGAGCUUGAACAGAUCACUAUAGCUCGGGCUCUGUUGAAUAAAGGAAAAUUUGGCUAUGGCAAACUCCUCCAAUGCGCCAAUACUAUUUACAAAUAAGUUUCCUAGUCAGAAUCCUAGACCAACAAGUCCACAGCCUCCUGCUACCACCUCGAAAAUCCUUACUUUAAUCUGCCCGAAGGUGGUUCCUCGAAACAGAUCUAUGUCAGCAACAGCAAAUGAGAAGCCCGUACUGAUAUCAUUGCAAACACCUACUCCUGAAAGCCGUGGUGUUCGUCCAUAAAAUUACAAUGAACUCCCUAAAUUUCUUUUGUCUUCAUAAUAGAAAAUUGGAUCUAGGCCUCCCUGUAAUGAGGCCCAUGAUAUAGAAAGCUGAAAGGGCCAUCACUGAAACCCGAAU
rnacentral:lncRNA from 1 species